rnacentral:rRNA from 1 species
CCUACGGGAGACAGCAGUGAGGAAUAUUGGUCAAUGGACGAGAGUCUGAACCAGCCAAGUAGCGUGAAGGAUGACUGCCCUAUGGGUUGUAAACUUCUUUUAUAUGGGAAUAAAAUGUUCCACGUGUGGGAUUUUGUAUGUACCAUAUGAAUAAGGAUCGGCUAACUCCGUGCCAGCAGCCGCGGUAAUACGGAGGAUCCGGGCGUUAUCCGGAUUUAUUGGGUUUAAAGGGAGCGUAGGUGGAUUGUUAAGUCAGUUGUGAAAGUUUGCGGCUCAACCGUAAAAUUGCAGUUGAAACUGGCAGUCUUGAGUACAGUAGAGGUGGGCGGAAUUCGUGGUGUAGCGGUGAAAUGCUUAGAUAUCACGAAGAACUCCGAUUGCGAAGGCAGUUCACUGGACUGCAACUGACACUGAGGCUCGAAAGUGUGGGUAUCAAACAGGAUUAGAUACCCUUGUAGUC